rnacentral:lncRNA from 1 species
GAGUUAUGUAUGGACGAUUACGGAAUUUCUGAAAGUCAUCAAAACUAAAGGAGUCGCCAGAUUGAGAUUGUGAAGUAGCCAUUAGGGACGAAACGGAGUUUUUCAGAGUUACGUAGUAGGAAAGCAAAGAGAUGAACAGUAAAUUGUGGGAGAGAAACGCAAAAAAGUGAGGUGUGAUUUAAUGGUGCAGUGAAAUGGCGUAUUUGGGGGUUAUAAGAGUUUGCAAAACGUCGCACCUUUUCAAAGUUAUGGAAGAAAACAAUGAUUGAAAUUCUUGGAAAUUUCAAAUGUUGCUGGAAACACAAAAGUAAAUAUGGCAAAGUUUAAUAAUUGGUAUUAAUUUUGUCAUAUUGGGGGGUAAUUGUUGACACAUAAAAAUUCGGCCCAAAUCGAACGGCUCAAAGAAUGAAGCCCAAUUGGAGGAUCCCCAAAUCAGAUAGCCUAAAGAACGAAACCCGAUCAGACAAUUUAGGAUGAAGGCCCAAAUAGGGAGGCCCAUGAACACGGUAACACCAUCGCCCAAGCUUGCAAGUCGCCCAGGAUCUGA